GAUGAAGAACGUAGCGAAAUGCGAUACGUAAUGUGAAUUGCAGAAUUCAGUGAAUCAUCGAGUCUUUGAACGCACAUUGCGCCCCCUGGUAUUCCGGGGGGCAUGCCUGUCCGAGCGUCAUUGCUGCCCUCAAGCACGGCUUGUGUGUUGGGCCUCCGUCCUCCUCCCGGGGGACGGGCCCGAAAGGCAGCGGCGGCACCGCGUCCGGUCCUCGAGCGUAUGGGGCUUCGUCACCCGCUCUUGUAGGCCCGGCCGGCGCUUGCCGACACAUCAAUCUUUUUUCCAGGUUGACCUCGGAUCAGGUAGGGAUACCCGCUGAACUUAAGCAUAUCUAAGCGGAGGA
rnacentral:misc_RNA from 1 species